CAGGAUGAACGCUGGCUACAGGCUUAACACAUGCAAGUCGAGGGGCAGCAUUGGGGUAGCAAUACUCAGAUGGCGACCGGCGCACGGGUGAGUAACACGUAUCCAACCUGCCGCUUACUCGGGGAUAGCCUUUCGAAAGAAAGAUUAAUACCCGAUGGUAUAAAGAGUUCGCAUGUUCUCUUUAUUAAAGAAUUUCGGUAAGCGAUGGGGAUGCGUUCCAUUAGAUAGUUGGCGGGGUAACGGCCCACCAAGUCUACGAUGGAUAGGGGUUCUGAGAGGAAGGUCCCCCACAUUGGAACUGAGACACGGUCCAAACUCCUACGGGAGGCAGCAGUGAGGAAUAUUGGUCAAUGGACGAGAGUCUGAACCAGCCAAGGUAAGCGUGAAGGAUGACUGCCCUAUGGGUUGUAAACUUCUUUUAUAAGGGAAUAAAGUGAGGGACGUGUCCCUUUUUGUAUGUACCUUAUGAAUAAGGAUCGGCUAACUCCGUGCCAGCCGCUGC
rnacentral:rRNA from 1 species